rnacentral:antisense_RNA from 1 species
ACUUGCUGGGAGGCAGGGCCGGGAGAGGCCGACUUCAGGACAACUUGGGCCUGCGGCGGUCGCCGGGAGGCCCAAGCUUGGCGUGGAGGAGCCCACCGACCGGAGACCAUUUGGGGCCUGGAGAUGCCAUCGGAGGGCAGGAGCUCAUCCUGGAGAGGCCACUGUGAGGCCUGACCUGGGCCUGGGGAGCUUGGCUUGAGGAAGCUGUGGGCCGACCAAGGCCACCAGGAGAUGG